rnacentral:tRNA from 1 species
CGGCACGUAGCGCAGCGGUAGCGCACCGUCAUGGGGUGUCGGGGUCGGAGGUUCAAAUCCUCUCGUGCCGACCA